GAGUCACAGCUGGGACACAUACUGUGGCUGUUCAUUAACUCUAUCCUAGUUGCUGCUGUGAAAAAAUACAUGGACUAGACACAAGAGAACGGCAGGAAGACCAACAACAGCAAAACCUUUUGCUGGUAUUAUAUUUUUACUCCCUGAAUCUACCUCUUGCAUCCCAAAGAUUUUGCUCCAUGCACCAAGUGAAAAAGGGAUACAACAUCUGACAAAGACACUGUGAUUUUCCACUAUCUUAUGAGAGUAAGCUUCAUGGACAAGCUAUUUGGAUAUGAACAUAAAUUUAAAAUGGGAUAAAAUUAAAAGGGGAUUACCAACAGAAGAUCAUUCCAGCUAACAUUACAUCUUUCUUUGAUAAGACACCUAAAAACACUUUGAAUGGAGGUGCAGACCCCUUUGAAUUGAAGAGAGGAAGGAGAUAUUACUGCUGCUGGAACUGCACUUCCCUUUAGAAAAAAUAAAAUGUGUUAUUGCCACAUACAAAGGAUGAAGAUAAGGAAGACUUAUGCCCCCUCUACAUGUUCAGAUUUCUGAGGUCAGUUUCAGAUUUACAAUGCUUGAUUCGACGUGACUCCACACCCAUCUCCCUGGAAAACAUCUGUCCAAACUUUCCUGGACACUUUCUUUAAGAAAGCAGAUGAAACUCCAGAAAAACCUGCACCAAGACUCCUGAGAAGACUCCAGACAAGAACCCUUCAAAAACUUCAAACAAGAGCCCUUCAAAAAGUUCAGCAAAGUCACCUCAAAGAAGUCCUUCCAAAUCAAUGAUUGCUAUUUACAACAUAAAUACAAUAAUGUAGCUAUAUUACUCAUCUACAAUUGAUUGAGUACAAAAUUCUGGGUUAUUUUUGGUCAAAAUAGUGUAUUGGGCCUUGGUUCAGAAACCAUUCCUGCAUUUAUAACAUUGUUUCCUAUAGGAAAAUUUGUUCCAAGUUACAUCGUUUAGACUUAAGACAUGGUUUUCAGGAACCAAUUGUGUCGUAAGUCUGAGGACUGCCUGCAUUUUGGAAGGUAAUAGCUAUGAAGGGAAAGAUAUUUUUGUUUGGUUUCUUAUAGUGAAAACAUUUCAGGUUGCUGUCAUAUUGAAUGAAAUAGUUUGAAUGUUUGUAAUGGUUGCCCAUUAGCCAGUUUCAGGAAGAAGAUAAGAUUUAUCUCCUUAUAUAGGUCAUUGUUUUGGACUACAUGUGGAAGAUCCAGACUUUGCUUAAAGUUUUAACUCUUGAAUUUUAUCUUUAGAAGUCUUUUACAAAGAGAACCUGAAAAUUGACCCUUAAGCAAAUAUCCUGAGUUCCGAGAGAUCAAACCCUAGAGCCUUUUGACCAGAUAGGUAAGAAAAGGUCACUUGCAGUGGUAUGGAAGUUCCCCAAAAGUAAUUAAAAUGAUCAACAAAAGGAACUAAUUACUAAGCAAAAGAAUCUGAGUAAGAUCCGAGCCCAAAUUUGGGGGUAAUGACAGGUUUGAGUAGGAGGAGCCCAAGACGGUAAGUCACUCAAUAAAAACUGUAACUUACUCUCCCAAAUUGGAGGUGACUAUACUUGCAGAACAAUGAAGGAAGAAUUGCAAGUGUAGGCCGGAUCAGACUGAUCACCUGAACCACCCUCUCCGUGAACACGAAUCUCUUAGUUCACGCUGAAGCCGCGGAGCACCUGAAAGGGACUGAAGGAAGGGGACUUAGUCCUAUCACUGCUGAGGCCAGCCCAUUGAAUUGUAUUGCUGAGGCGAGCCCAUUGAACUGUACUACUGAGGCCAACCCAUUAAAUUGUACUACUGAGGAAUGAAACCAUAUUUAGGUGUUUGGCUUCUCGGAAUUCUAGGAUUGUAAGUAUAUUAUGAAAAAAUAAUAGUAUUGAUUCAAAUUUAACUUUGAGUUGUAACUGUAGUUGUUUUUGUAAUACUAAUUCUUAUAGCAUUGUUUGGGAAGGAAGUGCAUUCGGAGCAUUGUUUCUGAUAUAUGUAAUUAUUGUGUUCUUAAUGUUUGCGGUGUUUCUUAAAGCUAAGCCGUGUUAUACACGUAGCAAAGAAUUUUAAAAUAAAAUUGUGUUGUAUGAA